UAUAAAAGAAAGAAGAAAUCUGAUUGGUUGCUAUGGGCAACUGGGCAAGUUUUCCUCUGCACAGGGACCACGAUGAAAAUGAUUAGUGACUCAUCUCACCAAUCACUGACUUAGGUAGGACAUCACUGUGGCUGGUGAUUGGGUGAUCGGGCCGACCCUGAUGAAAUGAGUGCAUCUUGGAAGAAGCAGCCAGAGUGUUCAGCAGGGGACUGGGAGAUGUCAUAGUAGGAGUCCACAGGACACAAGGACCUGGGAAUUAUUAGUCUCCUGGAAAAAGAAGCUGCAAGAUACUGUUAGAUAGCAACAGCACGAUAUGUAAUGUGGUUAGAUACACAGGAUUUAGUAGCCUUGUUAAAAUGCUCCAUAGUAUUGUAGGUGGGAUAAGAAAAGAAACAUAUCUCUACCUUGUGGCAGAAACAGGAUCAAUAUCAGAUUGGUAAACUACUGUCUCCCCUGAAAUUAGCUUUUUGCCAGAGCCAUAGCACCCACAUAUACAGAGAAUGGAGCCAGAAGAAGACAGCUCUGUAAGUUGUGUAUUGGUCGUGCCUGGUU